rnacentral:lncRNA from 1 species
GGGGUUUGGAUAAGAACCUUAUACAGCAAUCAAAAAUAAUCCCUUUUAAACUGAGGCGUAAACUGUACGGAAACAUCAAUCGGCUAUAGUUAAAAUCAAGCAAACUAUUCAUACAUAUCUUAGCACAUGAAUUAUAACAAGAACACAAAGGUAUAAACAACAGAAGCUAAUAGAAUCUAACAUCUAAACAAGAUUUCUAUUCGAAUUCCAAUUUGAACAUCCAAAUCUGCAUACAAAUUCAGUCUGGCUCCAACUUGUGGCACUUCAUUUGUUAGCAAAGGGGAUAAGGAAAUACCUGAGAGCACAAAUAAGAGAGAGGUAAUAAGAUCAGCAAAGAGUAGUAGCAAGAGCAAGGGUCAACAGCAAAACCCAAUCAGCAGAACCAACCAGCUGCUCUAAAAUUAAAUUUCAAACCCAGAAUUUGAAGUGAACGUCCAGAAACUAAUUCAACCCAAACAAUGGACCAGGCAGAACUUCAGCCAAGCUGAUUUUAGUUCAUUUCUAAAGUCAGCUAGUCAGAACUUGUUGCACCACCGGGAAAAUUGCAGAAAUUAACAGAAAACUCAAUGAAACAGUAAAAUUUCUGGCAUUUUUGUAUUUUUCUGAGCUUUUCAUUUUUUUAACCCUUGGGUCUGCCUUGAAAGGAAAGAAAAGCUGCCUUUAUAGGCAAGCUAUUAGGGCAGACUUAGUUUUGCACUUUGCCCCCAUUUUAAUUUUCAUUAUAGCUCAGCUACCCUUAUUAAAAAAUAGAAAAUCAAAACCAACGCCUUCCCCAGCUUCCUAGAAGCUUCCUAGUCUGUUAUAGCAAGAUUCCCUUAGGCCAAUUCCCUAGACUACCCUUUAAAGACUUUGAAACAACCCCAGAACCACCCGGGUCAACUGGUCAAGCUAAUUGGGUCAAGUUGACCUAACUUGAUGGGUCUACUGAAAACCUAGUUCAAUUCUCCAUUGGGCUUUUUUAAUCUUGUGAAUCCAAUCAAUACUAAGAAAAACCCUAAAAUCCAAACGUUCAAAUUAAGACCCUGAAGACUCGGAACAAAGCUAAGCCCAAAAAGACCAUGCAAAUUCAGACUAUCUGCACUUGAACACAAGACCCAACUUACAAUCACACACAUCAUAAAUCUAACAUGCAGGUACGGAAGAUAAAGAAGAAUGAUAAAUAAAAAGAAACAGAAUAAAAAUCAGAAAAUAAGAGAAAGAAUAGAAGAAGGUGAGGGUGAGGAAACAAAAUACAAAAGGGGAAAGAAGAAUACCUAGAGAUCUCGGACAAACACGAAAAUAACAUUUACGAUUCGACAUCUCCAAUUUCCGGCCCAAACCGAGAUUAAUCGUAUGUUAUUUGUCAAAAACAUGCGAUUAAAGUCAAACUGAGCCUUAAAAACUUCAACGAAACCUUGAUUUGAGACCUAGGGAUUCUAUGGUUCAUCCUCUGAUCUAAUAUUCGAGCAUAUCGGGCUACAUUUGAGGGAAACGGAGUUUUGGAACGAAGGGGUCAGGGUGGUUCGGUGGUUUGAUUUUGGUGGCGUUUGGAGGUGGCGCCGCCACCGGAGGUCGGGGAUUUGCGGACGGCUUAACUAGGGUUUUGGGGUGUUUCUGGUGGGGGUGGUGAGCAGAAG